GACGAACGCUGGCGGCGUGCUUAACACAUGCAAGUCGAACGGAAAGGCCCUGCUUGCAGGGUACUCGAGUGGCGAACGGGUGAGUAACACGUGGGUGAUCUGCCCUGCACUUCGGGAUAAGCCUGGGAAACUGGGUCUAAUACCGGAUAGGAGCCAUUUUUAGUGUGAUGGUUGGAAAGUUUUUUUCGGUGUAGGAUGAGCUCGCGGCCUAUCAGCUUGUUGGUGGGGUAAUGGCCUACCAAGGCGGCGACGGGUAGCCGGCCUGAGAGGGUGGACGGCCACAUUGGGACUGAGAUACGGCCCAGACUCCUACGGGAGGCAGCAGUGGGGAAUAUUGCACAAUGGGCGCAAGCCUGAUGCAGCGACGCCGCGUGGGGGAUGACGGCCUUCGGGUUGUAAACUCCUUUCGCUAGGAACGAAGCUUUUUGUGACGGUACCUAGAUAAGAAGCACCGGCUAACUACGUG
rnacentral:rRNA from 1 species